rnacentral:rRNA from 1 species
AUUGAACGCUGGCGGCAGGCCUAACACAUGCAAGUCGAACGAGCGGCGGACGGGUGAGUAAUGUCUGGGGAUCUGCCCGAUGGAGGGGGAUAACUACUGGAAACGGUAGCUAAUACCGCAUACUAUCGGAUGUACCCAUAUGGGAUUAGCUAGUAGGUGAGGUAAUGGCUCACCUAGGCGACGAUCCCUAGCUGGUCUGAGAGGAUGACCAGCCACACGGGGACUGAGACACGGCCCAGACUCCUACGGGAGGCAGCAGUGGGGAAUAUUGCACAAUGGGCGCAAGCCUGAUGCAGCCAUGCCGCGUGUAUGAAGAAGGCCCUAGGGUUGUAAAGUACUUUCAGCCGGGAGGCGUUACCGACAGAAGAAGCACCGGCUAACUCCGUGCCAGCAGCCGCGGUAAUAC